UAACAGCCUCAUAGUGGAUAAUGCAAUUUACUGUUACAGGUCUGAGAAUUGGCUUCAGAAGUCUCUAAUGCUGAGAGUGGGGAGUUUCAAGGUGACUGCUUUUUAGCUCUAGGGGAGAAAGGAGGGCACGCUGCCCAAGGCCAUGCCAGGGCAAGGACAGGCUACUGGCCCUGCGCCGGCCGGGUCAACCAGAGGCAAAGCUCCAUCUAGGGCUCCCAGGCUGACAGAUGUUUGCUGCCUCUGCCACAGGAGACAGAGGGGAAAGAAGGCAAAAGAAACAAAGAGAUCAUAUAUUUGAAGUGGUUGGACUUUUAAAAACCUACCUUUGCCUUCAGGGUUUUCUAGGUUACCGUCACCCCGCUUUCUGAAAAGUGUUUCCCCCCCUUUUCCCCACCAUUUCUCCCAGGGAAAGAAAAGGGGGGAAUGUUUUGUUUAAAAGAAUAGGGGUUACAAGAAAGAAAGGAAAAAAGCUAUUGUUUUCAUCCCUAAUUUAUAAUCCAAGAGGCCCCAUGGUUUCUCUCUUUCUGACUCAAAUCUUUGAGCUGUUAAUUAUAAAAGUAACUGGACUUGGCUCCAACGGGCUAACUACGUUCAUGCUCAGCAAUUAGAAAAACUCUGUAGAAAGUUUACGGAGUGAUUAUAUAUAAUUAAUUCCUAGUUACAGACUGAACACUGACCAUUUUCUGGAGCUAAUAAAAGCAGUUACUCCCCCUCCCCCACGUGAAUGCCACUUAAUUUCCCAAAGCAGAAAGUGAAUCCAUCCUGGAGGGUCUUGAAGGAAAAAAAGAGAGGGAAUCAAAAGCUCCAGUGUGUCUGUGUUUGUUCCUUGCAGCUGUGCAUCCUCUUUGGGGACUGGGGAGGCAGAAGGAAAAAGGAAAACAGCCCAACCUUCUGUUCCUCCCUGUGCAAUUUACAAAUGUGCCACAAGAGAACAUUCUACCUUGAUGAGAAAAAAGGGGUUGGGGGGAGAUGCCCUAGGAAUGGAAUGUAGGAGGCUCUUCAACGUGGUAGCUCUGCUUUUCCUAAAAGGAACAAAGAUGGUAGAAAUUUCCAGAAGGCCCAUUCUCCGUCCAGCCACUCCAAUUGUCAAUCUUUAACCUUUCCUCCGAGUCUAUUGGUUCAAAAGCUACAGAGAGGAGCCCCACUGGGCUGCUCUGGGAACCAGGACUGCUACCCCUACCUAGUUAGUCUUGCUGCAAUGCAGAACAUUUAUUUUUUUGCCUUUUAGAGAAAAUGAAAAAUAAUGCUACUUGCAAAGUAAUUAACUUUUUACAGACCCAUGCUAAGUGGUGGCCACAGUACCAAAGGGAAAGUGCCUAGCUUGGUCCAGGGCUGGGAACUUCCUGGGGCCACGCAUUUUAAAACAGAUCUUGGCUUUCCAAACCUGUGGGAGCCAUUUUAAUGCAUGCUUUUAGAGGACAAAUGCCUUGCCCUUAAGUUCCCUUCCAGCCCAACAAACACAGUAUUAUGCAAACGUUGAAGGCACCAAACCAGGAGUCUUGUGAUUAGAUAUUGCUUCUAGGAAGGCCACAAGAACCUCAAUGUGUAAUUUCCAUUUACAGCAAAGAGAUAAGAACAAAGAAAAUAGCUGAGUAUCCGAACUUACUUCUGUGGGCUAGUGGCACUAUUCAGGUUUUGAAGUAUAUAACAUCCAAACUGCCUGCACUUGUACUCUAAGAAGCUGGCCUGCCUAACAGACUUUUCUCAUCCUAGAAUUUGGUACAUUUCCCCUGAUUAAAUGAGCUUUUUUUCCAAGGGGUGUCA